UACGGGGGGAGCAAGCGUUGUUCGGAUUUACUGGGCGUAAAGGGCGCGUAGGCGGCCACCGCAAGUCAGUUGUGAAAUCUCUGGGCUUAACCCAGAAAGGUCAACUGAUACUGCGGGGCUAGAGUGCAGAAGGGGCAACUGGAAUUCUCGGUGUAGCGGUGAAAUGCGUAGAUAUCGAGAGGAACACCUGCGGCGAAGGCGGGUUGCUGGGCUGACACUGACGCUGAGGCGCGAAAGCUAGGGGAGCGAACGGGAUUAGAAACCCGCGUAGUCC
rnacentral:rRNA from 1 species